GUGGGGAAUAUUGGACAAUGGGGGAAACCCUGAUCCAGCCAUGCCGCGUGUGUGAAGAAGGCCUUUUGGUUGUAAAGCACUUUAAGCAGUGAAGAAGACUCUUCGGUUAAUACCCGGAGACGAUGACAUUAGCUGCAGAAUAAGCACCGGCUAACUCUGUGCCAGCAGCCGCGGUAAUACAGAGGGUGCAAGCGUUAAUCGGAAUUACUGGGCGUAAAGCGAGCGUAGGUGGCUUGAUAAGUCAGAUGUGAAAUCCCCGGGCUUAACCUGGGAACUGCAUCUGAUACUGUCAGGCUAGAGUAGGUGAGAGGAAGGUAGAAUUCCAGGUGUAGCGGUGAAAUGCGUAGAGAUCUGGAGGAAUACCGAUGGCGAAGGCAGCCUUCUGGCAUCAUACUGACACUGAGGCUCGAAAGCGUGGGUAGCAAACAGGAUUAGAAACCCUAGUAGUCC
rnacentral:rRNA from 1 species